ACCUCAACUCAAUUUCACACAAAUCAGAAGCACUGUGUAUAAAGAGCAACCCAAGCAACGCUUUCGCAUUCACCAUGUUCAGUAUGAACAGUGGAAAAGCUUCAGAAGUUCUGAAGUUAUACAAACUCUGAUGUGGACUCAGUCACUAGAAGCUCUGAAGAUCCAGAAAGUCUGAUAACCAAGAAACACUGAAGGCUCAGAUGUUCUGAUGGUGUAGAAGACUCUGAAGAUCCAGAAGCUGAAUAGUGGAAACUCUGA
rnacentral:lncRNA from 1 species